UACAGAGGUCCCAAGCGUUGUCCGGAAUCAUUGGGCGUAAAGAGCGUGUAGGCGGCUUGGCAAGUCUGACGUGAAAGCCCGCGGCUCAACCGCGGAUUGUCGUUGGAAACUGCCUCGCUAGAGUCCGGAAGAGGAGAGCGGAAUUCCUGGUGUAGCGGUGGAAUGCGCAGAUAUCAGGAAGAACACCCGUGGCGAAGGCGGCUCUCUGGGACGGUACUGACGCUGAGACGCGAAAGCGUGGGGAGCGAACAGG
rnacentral:rRNA from 1 species